UCCCUCUCAGGGUCACACCUGGAGAAUUUCCAGGACUCUACUAGUCUCGACUAGGGGAGGGAGAGUCAAGCAAAGGCACACCCAUUCCAUUCCUAGCUCAGCCAGGGGCUAGUGAGUGGAAGGCACUCUGUUACAAGU